GGACCGGUCAGGACUGUACGUGUAACACUGGGUAUGAGGGAGAUGGGUACACAUGUACAGAUAUCGAUGGCUGCGAUCCCAACCCGUGCGAUGCCAACGCUGCCUGUGCAGACGUCGCAGCUCCUGGGACCGGUCAGGACUGUACGUGUAACACUGGGUAUGAGGGAGAUGGAUACAUUAUUUGUACAGAUAUCGAUGGAUGUGCUGGCGAC